ensembl:lncRNA
GUGGUAUGCUGGGCUCAGUUGUGUUUGGAGAGAGCUGAGAACAAGCAAGUUUUGGUAGCUGGGGUGUUUGGUAUGAAGUAGUAGGGCAGUGUGGGAAUUUGGAUGAGGUCAUUAAUGCUUUGGAGGUGGGUGAGCUGAAGGUGGUGUCACCAAAACAUAUUGGUGACUGAGCUCAGGAAGCUUGUCAGGUGAUUUGGGGCUAGAGGCUUUAUCAUGGCAGAAAACCCAAAGCCUGUGCUUUCUGAGUGCACUCUGCAUGUUCAGAGCUGUCCUCAGAGGAAGGGAGUAAGGAAAGAAGAUACCUUGCUACCUGGUGCAGGUGGGAGGAACUAUAUCAUGGGACUAGCUCAGGGAGUGAAAACAGAAUGGGCAGAAUCCCAACACAACAUGACUGUGACCUGUCCUGAUUCAAUCCCAGGCUAAGUGGUACCAGGUCAGAGGUCCGUUUCUGGUUAGAUGAGGGUCUACCAGGAUAGUAUGGUGUUCUUCAGUGCAAGAAGUAAGUGUGGUGUUUUUAUUAUGCUGGGGCACCACCAUAGUACAGCUAGAUUUUGUGACACAGCAGUUUCUGUAAGGAAGACAGAAUCUUAGACUAGGAUUUAACAAAGAUCUCAAGGAGUUAAAGCCUGGGGUGACUUGCAGCAUGUAGUCCUUGAUAGCAGUGGAUUACUGUUAUGCCUGGCAGUUCUACAUUGUUCUAGCAAGCAUUUUAAGUCAGAAUUUCAACUACCGCUGUAGUUGCUUUGCUUUGGAGAAGAGAGUAUAGCAGGUGACUCCAGAGGUGGGAGAAGCUGCAGUGCUUUCAGGGACAAACCAACCAAGCAGCAUCUCAAGAAGAGAUUGUACCCUCUCCUUGGAACCUGGAGGAGAGCAUGGAAAUAAAAAAAUUAGCUCAGAAUAGUAAAGAGGAAAGAGGGAGGGAAGAGCAGGAGCUGAGACAGCCUUAAAAGUACCAGCAGUGGAUGGUGGGUGCAGAUGGAUGGAGAGUGAUUCAGCAGGGGAGGAAGUUCUCAUUAGAUGCUCCUAAGUGAGACAAUAAAAGCCUGUGAGAAGCCUACUAGUUCUUUUGCAUUUCUUCUGGUGAAAUCUCUCUGGAAAAAGAAACAACAAACAAUACAAAGCAACAACCUGGCAGAGCAGUGAUGGAUGGAGCUUAGGAGACAGGAUGACAUGAGCAUUUGUUGUCUCUCAGGUGAUGGAUGCAGGCUGUUGUCCAGCCGGGUGCUGGAUGAGCAGUGCCCUUCACCUCGGCUGGAC